ACGUACUGAUAUGUGCAGUGUACGAACAAAGCAUUCAUCUUUUCACAAUUCAGGAAGUGCUCUAAGUGAUUAAAUAUGGCGAGUAGACGGGGUCAAAAGACUCAGAGGCAGCAUCUACCUGCGAAAUCACAGACGUGUCGAUUCCAGUCAGACAAAAAUGAUCAAUUAGCAGUCCAUAAUUUGAUUUGAAAUUUUCUCAGUGGAAGUGGGAGAAAAACAGUAAAGAGGCAGAUCUUAAAUGACAUAAAAUUCCGCCAUGUCCCAAUGGAAAUCCAAUCCUGACCGAAUAGGGAUCAGGUUGUUUACAUGUUUAAUAACUCACACGUGGAGGGUCAUGUUGUCAGGAGUGCCGUCCUGGUUGGAGUCUGUCAUGUCAUGGACAGCGCUGAUGGCCAUGACGCCUUGUCCGACAGUGUACACGAUGGAGAGAUACACUAUUGUCCUGGAGAGAGAGAGAGAGAGAGAGAGAGAGAGAGAGAGAGAGAGAGAGCGAAAGAGAGGGAGAGAGACCAAGAGUGAGAGAGAGAGCGAAAGAGAGAGAGAGCGAUAGAGAGAGGUCAGUAUAAUUUUUUUGCUUUUAUUUAUAAAAUCUUUUGAAAUUCAGUUUAAGUUUAAUAAGCUUUUAGUGCAAUUUUGCUACUUUCUUUUAUUUAUUUAUUUAUUUAUUUAUUUAUUUAUUUAGAGAUAUUUUUAUUUAGCUUUUUAUUUACAUGGUUUUAGGUUUAGUGAUUUUAGGUCUGGGGACACACUGAGGGAUUAUAAAUUGAAUAUGAAAAUGCAGUUAUGUUCAAAUAAAAUAAAAAUGGAUCCUGUUAUUGUCCAUGAGAGUCUUUUCAGAACAGUUUAUAAAAUGAGGGAAUAUUUCAAAGGGGUUUAUAAAGUUAUACAGAAUAAAUAAAUAAAUAAAUAAAUAAAAAUAUAUAAUGUGACUUUUUCCCAUACUUCUUGCAAGUUGCAAAAAAAACCUCACACUACUGUUUUAUGUUAUAAAGAAUUUAAUUUGCCGUUCUUUAUUAGUUUAAUUAAUUUAGGUGUCAUUUUUUACUUCAUUUUAGUAUAUUUUAUUUAUAGUCUAUGGGGUCGUAGUGAGCCUGGAGCCUAUCCCAGGGAACUCGGAGCACAAGAGGAAAACGGAGUACACGGAGGAAACCCCCGAAGAGUCGGGAGAGCAUGCAAACUCUGCACACACAGGACGGAGAUGGAAUUCGAACCCCCAGCCAUGGAGCCAGGAAUCGGCUAUGAUGGCUCCCAGGAUGGGCGUGAGGUAGCACAGAGCCACGAAGGUGUGGUAGAUAGUGGUGGCCAAGUCAUCAUCCCAACGCAGGAAAUAACGGAAAUACAGCACCAACACGGCUGCAGAUGGAGAGAGAGAGAGAGAGAGAGAGAGAGAGAGAGAGAGAGAGAGAGAGAGAGUAGGGGAGAAGAAAGAAUUCAUGCAGGAUGCAACUCCAAGUUUUUUUCUGAACUUACCUCGCAUGCCAUAGUAGGAAAAGCGUUCGCAGAACUCAUUCACGACGAUGAAGAAGAUGCUGAGAGGGUAGCCACAGCACUCCGUCUGUUCACGGGCAAAAAUAAUAAUUCAAUUCAAUUCUCUAAGACAUAAUACAGUACACGGUAUUGGUUCUUUAAAAUUUUUUUAUUUCACCUUGGAUUUGGUCUGCUUCUCUUUUCUCUGCUCAUUGUCUAUAAAGUAAGAUAAAGUGUGUUCAGAUUUUCAGAUUGGACAUUUCAGACUGGACCUACUAAUGUAAAUGGGCACAUUCAGUUCAAAUAGAAUAGAAUGAAUACUGACACAAAGAUAGGCUAACACAAUGAAACAAUUUUAAUAAAGAACAUCAUGCUUAACUGAUAAAAUUUAAGUUGAAGAUAGUCAAUCCAAGCCUUUAUGCUGUAGUUUGUCACCUGGACCACUCACCUGCCAUGUUUCCUGUUGUCUCUUACUCCUCACUGAGGGAUAUCCUUUAUUACACCUCUCACACACUCUCUCUCUCUCUCUCUCACACACACACACACACCUCCUGUGGUCUGAGCACCUGGGGAAGCAGGUAGUGGGGUUUUAUAUAUAACCUGCAUCAUAAAUCCUAAUCAGGCAGAGAGGACUGUGGACUGUGGACCCCAUUUAUGGCUCAGAACAUCUGUGUGUGUGUG